GACGGUCUCCCUUGGGUGAGCGAUUUCGGUGUGUAUUGUGUUGAAUUGAAGACGCAGCGGGAAUAUCGAGCGGGUAAUCCUACAGGUCAGGAGAAUCAGGACGGUGAUCGUGCGGGUUAGAGAAUUUGUUUUAGUUUUACAGCAAUUGUAAUUGUGAGGUGAGUUAUGCUCAUUUGAGCCUUACAAUAUAAUUUGGUGAGAGUGUGCUGUAAUAAACAAAUUUGAGAUUUGGUUUAUGUAAUAUCGAGCGAUGUGAGGUGUGGUUGUUUUGAGAAAAAAAAUUCAGGUUGUAAUUAUGUGAGUUGUAUUAAUUCAUG